rnacentral:rRNA from 1 species
GAUGAACGCUGGCGGCGUGCCUAAUACAUGCAAGUCGAGCGAAUGGAUUAAGAGCUUGCUCUUAUGAAGUUAGCGGCGGACGGGUGAGUAACACGUGGUAACCUGCCCAUAAGACUGGGAUAACUCCGGGAAACCGGGGCUAAUACCGGAUAACAUUUUGAACCGCAUGGUUCGAAAUUGAAAGACGGCUUCGGCUGUCACUUAUGGAUGGACCCGCGUCGCAUUAGCUAGUUGGUGAGGUAACGGCUCACCAAGGCAACGAUGCGUAACCGACGUGAGAGGGUGAGCGGCCACACUGGGACUGAGACACGGCCCAGACUCCUACGGGAGGCAGCAGUAGGGAAUCUUCCGCAAUGGACGAAAGUCUGACGGAGCAACGCCGCGUGAGUGAUGAAGGCUUUCGGGUCGUAAAACUCUGUUGUUAGGGAAGAACAAGUGCUAGUUGAAUAAGCUGGCACCUUGACGGUACCUAACCAGAAAGCCACGGCUAACUACAUGCCAGCCGCCGCCGUAA